AUGCAGUCGAGGGGUAUAGUUCUUCGGAACUAGAGACCGGCGCACGGGUGCGUAACGCGUAUGCAAUCUACCUUUUACAGAGGGAUAGCCCAGAGAAAUUUGGAUUAAUACCUCAUAGUAUAUAGCCCUGGCAUCAGGAUUAUAUUAAAGUCACAACGGUAAAAGAUGAGCAUGCGUCCCAUUAGCUAGUUGGUAAGGUAACGGCUUACCAAGGCUACGAUGGGUAGGGGUCCUGAGAGGGAGAUCCCCCACACUGGUACUGAGACACGGACCAGACUCCUACGGGAGGCAGCAGUGAGGAAUAUUGGACAAUGGGCGCAAGCCUGAUCCAGCCAUGCCGCGUGCAGGAUGACGGUCCUAUGGAUUGUAAACUGCUUUUAUACGAGAAGAAACACUCCUUCGUGAAGGAGCUUGACGGUAUCGUAAGAAUAAGGAUCGGCUAACUCCGUGCCAGCAGCCGCGGUAAUACGGAGGAUCCAAGCGUUAUCCGGAAUCAUUGGGUUUAAAGGGUCCGUAGGCGGUUUAAUAAGUCAGUGGUGAAAGCCCAUCGCUCAACGGUGGAACGGCCAUUGAUACUGUUAGACUUGAAUUAUUAGGAAGUAACUAGAAUAUGUAGUGUAGCGGUGAAGUGCUUAGAGAUUACAUGGAAUACCAAUUGCGAAGGCAGGUUACUACUAAUUGAUUGACGCUGAUGGACGAAAGCGUGGGUAGCGAACAGGAUUAGAUACCCUGGUAGUCCACGCCGUAAACGAUGGAUACUAGCUGUUGGAAGCAAUUUCAGUGGCUAAGCGAAAGUGAUAAGUAUCCCACCUGGGGAGUACGUUCGCAAGAAUGAAACUCAAAGGAAUUGACGGGGGCCCGCACAAGCGGUGGAGCAUGUG
rnacentral:rRNA from 1 species